AUAAGAGAAAACCUUUUGCUGGAUACUUUUUUGUUUUGGCGCACAAUUUUGACCAUUCACCACCUAAAAUCCCUAAUCUUCUUCAUCCCAAAAACUUUUCGAUUCUUCUUCAUCUUCGCCGUCAUGUGUCGUCAUGUUCCGGUAACCCCACCAUCGAUUCGCCACCUUCAGCCAUAGAUACACCACUUUCUUCAUCUGUGUCUUUGAUUCACCAUCAUCGAUUCACCACUUGCCAUCGAUUCUCCCUCGUCGGCCAUCGAUUCUCCACCAGAAAUAAAGAACGAACCUAACAACAUACUCUUCUCCAUUCGUCUGGCCAGAAAUCACGUAUCGGAGUUGAAAUCUUCAUCGGAAUCUCCAAAGAAGCAGCGUGUCUCGUUUGCAUCGGUGUCGGCAAUUUCGGUCCUCUGCUUUGAUUUACUUCUUCUUUGUCUUCUGCUUAUUUAAUUCUUAGAAGAACAAGAACCUGCAUGCUUGAAAGUUUAUCAAGCUUAGAAGACCAAGGGCUCAAUUACUUUGAGCUUCACGCAGCAAACGUUGGAACUAAGUCAAAGAAGCUUAAAAGUUUUAGAAUUUCUAUUGCCAAAGUUUCUCCAAUGUGGGAAACUUUAGACUCGUGUAUUAAAGUUAUUGAUGCUCAUUUAAUGCGUUCUGGUGUGGGUCUUAACACUAGGUUUGUUAUUAAAUUUUUAUGACAUUUGUGCUUCUAAUGUUGUGGUUAAUUCUUUCAGGUUUAUCCUUGUUUUCAGUUUGUAUAUGGGUCUGAUUUUUAAGUGUAUAAAACGGUACAAUAUAUAAAAUAGGUCUAUAUGCAAUUGACCUUUAAGUUAUACACAAAUAAUUGUUGGAUAUGGAUUUGAAAUUAAUUCCAGUCAAUCACCAUCUGUUCCGAGCUAUUUAUGGCAGAUCCUAACAACCAGCUGUUAAUUAUUCUCUAGAUUCAUGAACUGUUGUACUCUUUCAAUUCUAGGCUUUAGUUUAGAUUUGUCUGAUAUAUACAUAUGGUUUUUGUAACUGUGUAGAGUUGGUGUUGCCAAUUUCAUUACUGUUGCUUGAAAGUGUUGGUGUUGACAUCAAACCAUAUGCUAAUAUGCUGACGAGGUUGUUGUUUUUCGUUGUUAAAGAAGAAAAAAGUACUGCUGCAAAAUGCGCCUUGCAGGUGCCUGUGCAAAAGCCUUAAAUUAUAUAGCAGUCUUUGAGUGCCGGUGACAAAAGCUCUCAUACUGCAUGUGAAUUUCUCUUAAAGAGCUAUUCAUCUAGGGCAACAAAUGUUAUUGGUGGAUAUCAUGCAGUUAUCAUUCCAUUUGUUUUCCUUUCAAGAGACAACCUGAGACACAUAUUUUUUGUGCUCGGUUCAAGGAGCACGCGGGAGAUAUCGUGGGUGCUAGAGCUGCGUAUCAUCUUGUGCACACUGAAAUUUCUCCAGGCCUUCUUGAAGCAAUAAUCAGGCAUGCCAAUAUGGAACAUCGAUUGAGGAAGUUGGAGGAUGCCUUCUCUUUGUAUGAACAGGCCAUUGACAUUGAGAAAGGAAAAGAACAUUCACAAACACUGCCAAUGUUGCUUGCUCAGUAUUCUCCAUAUGUUUAUUUGCUAGAUCCUGAUAAAUGAUAAUGAUAUUUGCGAGCUUCUCAUUUAUGUCGACUAAUAAAGCCUCCUAAUUAUUCGGCUUCUGGAAAUGCUGAAAAGGCUAAAGAGAUUUUAUUUGGGGGUCUUGAGAACGCUUCACUGUCAAAGGCACUACUUGAGGUCUGUCCACACUUACACUUUCCAUGUGCCCUUAUGCUGUUGAAAAUUCAUAUUUAAUGAGAUUGUCUAACUUCAUUUUGUACACAAGCUUUAUUGCAUUUUGAAGCUGUUCAACCCCAACCAAAACGAGUUGACAUUGACUUUAUAGAGUAAUUAGUUAUAAAAUUCAUAAUGCCCAACCUAGACAACCCUGGUGUAGCAAGUGCAACAGAGCGCGAAGAACUUUCUAUUAUUUUUCCGGAGGUGAUUUUGCAUGGGGUUCAAUAUUAUAUUUCCUUUGAUUUUCCUUGAGUAAUGAUGGGGACACUUAUUCUAAAGCACCCACUUCAAAUCAUAUCACAUCUCAUCAAACAACUACAAAAAACCUUGUUUAACCAACAGUGUACCUGGAGUAAAUCAAUGGUUUUGGGACAGGUGUAUUACGUGUAGGUAGUCGUGUGAUUACAUUUCAGUAAACUCCAUAUAACCAAAAAUGGAUACUCAAAUCGGAUAACAAAACUUUUGUUCCAUAUCUUACAGACUGUCUCUAGUGCAACUGUGGUGUCUUUUCACACGCUGACACAAAUGUUUUCACUUGAAAAAUGUAGUAGGCGGGGACAAUUUAGCAGCAUUCUAGUGGUAGUUAGUAUAUGCGAGUUUGUUGUUUUGUAUAGUUUUUAUUCAACUUUAAGGUACACAUCUAAUGCUACAGUAAAGAAGUGUAUGGUAUAGUUUUUUUUUGUUUUUUUGUUAGUUUCACCGUUGUGUUUGUUAAUAUGUAAAUUAAUUUGUUUAUAGGAAUUAUGCCUGCUCUGUUUACGCAAUACCUUGAUUUUUUUAAUAAAUGUUAGAGUAUUUUUAAUUUCAUAUGUAUUUUAUGUUGUUUUUUCAGUUUUUAAAUCUCUUUUGGAGAUGUUCAAUCUAUGAUCUAUAAAAAGGGGUGAGGAUAGACAUGCCAAGCUGUUCUUGCCUAAUAGGUUGAACUAAAUUACAAUUGUGUGUAUGUCUUCUGUGUAAAGAAAAGAUAAAAUCAAUUGGAGACUUGCAACUUGGAAAGCUUGCCUACUCUAUAUGGCCGGCAAGGUCCAAUUGGUAAAGGCAGUCAUUUAAAGCAUGAUGGUCCAUUGCAUUAAGAAGAUUAGCACUUGGAAGCGAAAUUUUAUAUGGAGUGGUUGCUUGGAUCAAAAAAAACUUUUUACUGAAGCUUGGAAAAUUGUUGCAAAGGUCUCAAGGAAGGUGGGCUUGGACUAAAGUCUUUAUCCUCUUUCAAUGCUGCCACAAAUAUUCAUCUGUGCUGGUACUUUGUCAAAGGAAAUCUGAGUUGGUCUAAUCUUCUUGCUGCCCGUGUCAAGAGGAGUUGUAAUGUCAUACCUGAUAAUAUCAAAUCUUUAAUCUGGACAAGUAUUAAGGAGAGGUACAAAACUGUUAUGGAGAACACCUCUUGGAUAAUUUACAAUGGCUUUAAGAUCAACUUUUGGCUAGACAUUUGGAUUGUUGAAUAUCUGGCUAAUAGGUAUAAAAUUCCUGCUAUCUUCCAAAAAUCUCUCACCACUAUGGUUAAAGAUUGACUGAUUAAUAGAGCCUGGUGCAUUCCUUUGAAUAUCCAAACUGUGUUUCCUAGUCUUUUGCGUUGAUCUCUGCUAUACACAUACCAGAAUUUGAAAUUGAAGAUUCUAUUAUUUGGAUAGAUUAUGUUCAUGGAGAUUUGAGUCUGAAGCAGGCUUAUGAUUUCAUACAAAAGACGCAUCUUACUGCUAGCUAGGCAAAGUUUCUAUGGGAUAAAAAUAUUUCUCCUAUGCAUUAUAUGAUGGUGUGGAGACUCAUCCAUAACAAGCUGCCAACAUAUGAGAAUCUUUCCUUAAGAGGAUUAUCUAUCACAUACAUGUGCUCCCUUUGUAAUGCUGAUUUAGAAACAUCUUACCAUCUGUUUU